rnacentral:rRNA from 1 species
AAAGAAACUAACAAGUAUUCCCGCAGUAACGGCGAGCGAAGUGGGAUGAGUUCGAGCCUGUAAUCUCUGGCAGUUUGCCAGCGAAUUGUGGCCGGGAGAGGUGGCUUGGUUCUGUCCUGCAGCGUCAAAGUUGACCUGGAAGGGCACGUCGAAGAGGGUGACAGCCCCGUUGUUGACCCUGCGGGUGCGGGCCUAGGCCGCCUUCCGAGAGUCGGGUUGUUUGGGAAUGCAGCCCAAAGUGGGUGGUAAACUCCAUCUAAAGCUAAACAUGGACACGAGACCGAUAGCGAACAAGUACCAUGAGGGAAAGGUGAAAAGCACUUUGAAAAGAGAGUCAAAAAGGCCGCGAAACCGUUAGGGGGGAAGCGAAUGCAGCCUGAUGGCUUCGUUCGGGUUCAGGGAGGGUUAGUCGAGCGUCUUGUGCUGGCCAACUCGCGAGAGUGGUCGGUGCAGUUUGGUCGGCGACCCCUCUGCAUUCCCGUCUUGGAGCCGACCAACGAGGGCGGUUGGUGACCGGCAGGCUGGAGGGCAGGUGCUUCGAAUGGCCCUUGGACCGUUUGAGAACUUACAGCCUCCAGUUGUGCCACGGUUUGCUAGCUGCCCAGGAGUUUGUGCGUCCUUCGCACAUGUCAGCGCAGGCUCCGCAGGGGCCGGGUCGCUUCUGGCCGUGUGGAAAGCGCGGCAAGGGACUGCUUGCAGUGUCUGCCGACGUUCCGUCUACUCGGGCGGGAGGCGGGCCACGACGUGCGCUGAAGUCGUUGGUUGAGGGAUGGCUUCAUCCGACCCGUCUUGAAACACGGACCAAGGAGUGCAAGAGGCGUGCGAGUCUUUGGGUGUUGAAACCCCGGGACGUAAUGAAAGUGAAGAGGGGCUUUUGUCCUUGGAGGCGAGAGCCGGUCCUUUGGCCGGCCCAUCGUCGACCGAUUCCGAUUCACUCUGUGGCGGGAUUCGAGUAAGAGCGUGUCUGUUGCGACCCGAAAGAUGGUGAACUAUGCCUGAAUAGGGCGAAGCCAGAGGAAACUCUGGUGGAAGCCCGCAGCGGUUCUGACGUGCAAAUCGAU